ACGGUGCCCUUAAGUGAAUUAUAGAACAUCGUAAGGUACGGUGUACUUGAGUAGAAUACGAAAUAUGGUAAGGUACCAUGGGCUUAAGUGAUUUUGGGCAUAUUAUAAGAUAUGGGCCAAACGAAAUAUGGUAAGGUACCAUGGGCUUAAGUGAUUUUGGGCAUAUUAUAAGAUAUGGGCCAAAAUACACUUAAGUGGACUU
rnacentral:lncRNA from 1 species